rnacentral:misc_RNA from 1 species
GAGCGUCAUUUAAACCUUCAAGCUCUGCUUGGUGUUGGGUGUCUGUCCCGCCUCGGCGCGGACUCGCCUUAAAUUCAUUGGCGGCCGGUACAUUGGCUUCGAGCGCAGCAGAAACGCGAACUCGGAGACUUUGGAUCAGCUCCCAGAAGCUAUUUUCUAUUUUUGACCUCGGAUCAGGUAGGGAUACCCGCUGAACUUAA